rnacentral:tRNA from 1 species
GUUCGGAUCGCCAAGUUGGUUAAGGCACAGGUCUGCAAAACCUGCAUCAUGGGUUCAAGUCCCAUCCCGGACUCA